rnacentral:lncRNA from 1 species
GAAAGUGGACCCUAAAACUCCCAACUCAGUGCCCUGCCCCAUCUAUUAGAUAAAAUGUCCAUAUCUCUGGUGGAAAUGAGUCAGAGUACAUAAAAUGCAAUAGAGUCAGCAGAGCCAGGAUGUAGACUAUUACUGCUAAGGGCUGGAAAGGUCUCUGGGCCUUUCUAUAGGCCCUUCCUGGGCUGGAAAACUAAACAGCACUGCUAAAAGGAUUUCUCAAAGUCCUAAACUAUUGGCUUGAUCCUGAAGGGUGCUGGGCAACCACUGUUCCCCACGGUUUCAGAUAGGUGCUGUGUACCUCCCCAGAGGAAGCCCCAUGAAUGAUGCAUGGGCACACAAACACUUCCUUCAUUAUUUGCGACAUCAGUUGCUGCAAGACCCACCUCAUCCUUCCCAGUCUGCGAAUGCCACGUGAACAUGAAAAAAAGAAGUCACUGAUUCGUGUUGCGACCACUCCGGCUCCCCCAUCUCUUCCAGAAAGUCCCAGAGGAAAUGUGUCGGCGUUGGACUUCACAACCCAGUAG